GCCAGCAUGGUGUAGUGGUUUGAGUGUUGGACUACCACUCUGGAGACCAGGGUUUGAUUCCUUGCUCUGCCA
rnacentral:tRNA from 1 species